CAAACAUCCCACACAACACAAAUACGGUUUUGUUUACAGAAAUAUGCAACCUUGGCAGAGGCUGUUCUAGGAUAGCACAACCGGUGCAGUCGCACUGGGCACCACACUGCAGGCGCACCACAGCAAUGCUGUAGAACAGAGCAUGAGAGGCAGACAGCACCAAUUUCAGCGUUGUACAGGGCGCCACUGGAAUUUGAGAGCUCAAGGUAACUGAGUUACAAGUAAGUGUCAUCUGUUUUCAAAAUGCAAAGCCAAGGAGAAACCAAUCAGUUGAAGAGUUUUCACUGUGUGUGGAUGUGUUUGAAUUAAGUGCAUCACGUAACUAGGACCAUUUAUUAACUUUUGGCAAUUUAGGUUUCUAUAUCCAGAUUUUUUCUUGAUACAAAGCCCAAGAAAAUGACUCAUUUAAAACCAAAUAAGGACUUUCCCUCUCACGUUUGUGCCUCCUCUUGGUUCCCAGGGAGAUUCAAGUUCAUGGGAGGAUAAUUGGGAAAAGGAAGGAAAUGGAGACAGAUGUAGGUGCUGAAAUAGUCUUGCAUGUGCUGCUGUGCUGUGCUGGCUGAUAACACCUGCUGUGGGGGAUCUGAAACUAACCGAGCAAUAGGGUUGCAAGAAGGCAUUAUUAUCCAUUUGAGCCUGUAUUUGCUGCAUGACACAUUGUUUCUCUUCAGCUGCAGUUCAUCUUCUCUUCAAAACAAAGGUAUUUGUUUUGCUGUCUGCUGUGGCAGAAUUAUGUCCCAAAACAUCAAGCAACUUUUAUGGAAGUGGGGUAAGCCCUGCAGUUCUCAGUAACUAGAUCCAUUUAUCACCGUCUGCAAUCUUAUGGAAAAAUUGGCUUGAAAUAUUUGAUAUUAGAUGACUCAACUGGCUGCUCAACACUCACAACUGCUGGAGCAGUUUGAUAGGUCUUAAUUUUAGCCACUCACUUAAAUGCAAACUGUUUUUACUGUCCACAAAAGGCAGCAAUUCUUUACACAUGGUGCCUUGUGAAAGCAAGCCAAGCAUGAGGUUCAGAAAACACACGUUAGGAAUAGAACCCAGAGGCUUUUUGAAGCUUCGCCGAUCAAAUAUUUUAUUGAGAAGUGAAAUUAACAGCUGCUGAAAUGAAUUGGUUUGUGGUUUAUAUAGCAGAAUCAAAAGUUUGGGAGUUGGAUCGACCCAACCCCUCAAACCACCUGUUCUGUCUCAUUCACACAACACUAGUGUUGCUUAGAAAAAGUAAAUAAAACAUGCAGAUAUCCCAUGGAUAAAGGUGCUUUACUUAGUUUCUUCAUAUUCACAGAUAUGACUGGAUACUAACCCUACAUGGUGAGAACUAGUUUCUCAUGGCCACUUCCUGCAGGAGAGAGGAAGAGAGAGAGCAAGGAAGAGUGGAGCUUGGCAGUUUGGCAGGAAACCAGAGAGUGUGUUUUGCCCUGACUGUUUGUCUCAGCACUUCCCUCUGCUGACUGGAGGUAUGCAAAGUUGCUUAUAUGCAACACAUUACAGUGGUACCUCAGGUUAAGUACUUAAUUCGUUCUGGAGGUCCGUACUUAACCUGAAACUGUUCUUAACCUGAAGCACCACUUUAGCUAAUGGGGCCUCCCGCUGCCGCCGCGUGAUUUCUGUUCUCAUCCUGAAGCAAAGUUCUUAACCCGAGGUAAUAUUUCUGGGUUAGCGGAGUGUGUAACCUGAAGUGUCUGUAACCUGAGGUACCACUGUACUUGGUAAUGUGAAACUGAUGUUGAGCAGCUAACUGGUAAAAGGUGGAACAGUAUACUGUUGUUUACCUACAGAACACAGCAGUGUCUAAGUGGAUGCUUAGAGAGGAUGGACACACACACACACACACACACACACGAGCUAGACCCAGAAGCCGAAGAGUUAUGCCAUUCUCUGAGCCUCCAAAAUCAUUUUCUGUCUGUUUCAAGCAAUUUAUCAUUUCUGCCUGCAUAGAUUCAAAGUUAAUUUCACCUGAAUGCAAUUUAAGUAGUUACCUAGGUCAACUCUAGAGAGAAUUUCAUCUGCAGCAUCAUCUGGAAGGGACUUUCUCUUCCCAGUGCUGCCUUCUGUACAGGUGCUACCGGGAGCCAAACUAGACAUGAUGCUAAACGCGUCACUUGGAAUCACAACUGCGGUUUUUUAAAAUAAAUAAAAUAAAAUCGGGUUCCCUUGGGGACGAGUGUCUGUGUAACUUUUAUCAGGAUCACUGCAUGCAGGGAGAGGUGGUUGAAACCCUUUCGAUCCUCACAAUGGUUCCAACAAAACAUUCUCCCCAAGCAGCUACUAAGCCAGGAAGAAAAGUUAUCAUUAGCUUUUCUCCCUUGCUAAGAAUUUAACAUGCUGUGGGGCUAACAAUGUGGGCGGGUUUGGGGCAGGAUUCAUGCACAAGAGUCUACUCCCUUCAUGUGGUUUCCAGCAACUGGUAUUCAGAAGUGUAGCCAAAUCAUGGACAGUAGCCAUCGAUAGCUGUGAACACUGCUAAGUUGAAUAGAGUGUUGGAGCACUUCUCUGCUUGAAGGAAAGAGAGAAAAGCUGCAGGAGAAGGUAAAAGUGGAAAUCUCUCAUAGGAGCUGCAAGGCAUGGCCUAACUGAGACACAGGAGGCUGAGUGAUUGAGCUCUGGAAAGGCAGGAAAAUACAGCUGUUUGGAAGUUGGAAGAAGAGACUGUGAGCCCAUGCUUGGAUAAGCAUGUGACUAUAGAUAUUAUGAUGCGGGUGGCGCUGUGGGUUAAACCACUGAGCCUAGGACUUGCCGAUCAGAAGGUCGGCGGUUCAAAGCCCCGCGACGGGGUGAGCUCCCGUUGCUUGGUCCCUGCUCCUGCCAACCUAGCAGUUUGAAAGCACGUCAAAGUGCAAGUAGAUAAAUAGGUACCGCUCCGGCGGGAAGGUACCGUAUUUUUUGCUCUAUAAGAUGCACCAAACCACAAGACGCAACGAGUUUUUGGAGGAGGAAAACAAGAAAAAAAAUAUUCUGAAUCUCGGAAGCCAGAACAGCAAGAGGGAUCGCUGCACACUGAAAGCAGCAAUCCCUUUGCUGUUCUGGCUUCUGGGAUAGCUGUGCAGCCUGCAUUCACUCCAUAAGACGCACACAUAUUUCCCCUUACUUUUUAGGAGGGAAAAAGUGAGUCUUACAGAGCAAAAAAUACGGUAAAUGGCAUUUCCGUGCGCUGCUCUGGUUUGCCAGAAGCAGCUUAGUCAUGCUGGCCACAUGACCCGGAAGCUGUACGCCGGCUCCCUCGGGCAAUAAAGCAAGAUGAGCGCCGCAACUCCAGAGUCGGUCACGACUGGACCUAAUGGUCAGAGGCCCUUUACCUUUAUUGAUAUUAUGGGACGCGGGUGGCGCUGUGGGUUAAACCACAGAGCCUAGGACUUGCCGAUCAGAAGGUCGGCGAUUCGAAUCCCUGCGACGAGGUGAGCUCCCGUUGCUCGGUCCCCACUCCUGCCAACCUAGCAGUUCGAAAGCACGUCAAAGUUCAAGUAGAUAAAUAGGUACCGCUCCGGCGGGAAGGUAAACAGUGUUUCCGUGCGCUGCUCUGGUUUGCCAGAAGCGGCUUAGUCAUGCUGGCCACAUGACCCGGAAGCUGUACGCCGGCUCCCUCAGCCAAUAAAGCGAGAUGAGCGCCGCAACCCCAGAGUCGGCCACGACUGGACCUAAUGGUCAGGGGUCCCUUUACCUUUAUAGAUAUUAUGUUUUAACUCAUCUAUAGCUAUAAGUUUCUGCAAGUAAAGUUUAAAGUCUAGACGUUGGUUUAAUUUCCAAAGAAGGGUUUCAGUCACAUAUGUGAUUUGUGCUUCUUAGCUGUGAUUGCGCUAUCCUUAUUUCAACAGUGUAGUGAAAAGGAAGACAGAAUCAUUACCUUCCCUCAUGCCAGCAUUAGCCACCAGGAGCUGGGACAAGGCCAUGGAUCUACCACUCGACUCCUCUCUAACCCCCCUCUAGGAUUGCUCUGUCUGUUUUACAUGGUUUUUCUUUUCUUUUCCUUUUUUUUUGUAAUCUGCCUGGGACUUUUAAAACCCCUCUAGUUGCAAAGGAUGAAAUGUCUCAAGAACAAGCUGAUCUCCUGAGGAUAAGCUCUGACUAAGAAGCCCCAGAUGGGAACAGCCUCACUCGUCUCUCUUAGGACUGACCCUUAAACAAAACAUCUCCCAGUACUUUCUUGCUGCAAAAAAAGCAGUUAACUUAAAAUCCAUUCAUCAUAUCAGUGUUUGCUUUGUAAUGAACAGAGCGCUAGUCCCGAGACUAAGCGGGAAUAUAUCGGCUCCUUGUAAUUUGAUGGGCAAUUGCGCGGAAAUUAUGAGCCUGCGCAACAGACCAUGAAGAGUUACAGGGACACAAACAUACUUCUUUCUCUCUCUUUUAAAAAAUGUGUUUCUAGCGACACAUUUCAUAACAACUACUUCUACAGCGUAAUUGGUUCUGGGUUUCUGAAUGCCGUUUUGUUUUUCACACUAGUCCUUUAGGUCUUAAUGACUUCAACGCAUUGACACUUCAGUCAAGCAGUUGUAUGCAAAAGACAGAAAUAUUAAUCUAUGAAAUAUUCUAGAAGGCAUAAAUAUCAGGUCUGUCAAUCCUGUUUUCUCAGGCACAAUGUGGAAGGGCAGUAGCUCAUGCUUUGCCUGCAAAAGGUGCUGGGUUCGAUUUAUGUCAUUUUUCCAGGUGGGACUGAAAAAAGACUUUCCUGACUGAAACUCUUGAGAGAAGCUGCCAGUCAGUAUCGACAGCACUAAGUGAGAUGAACCAAUGGUCUGACUUGAUAAAUAAAUGGCAUUUUCCUGUGUUCCUCAUCUAUAUAAGCAAAUGCAGAGAAAGCUAGUUUCACAUAAGGCAUUUAUUCAAGCAUAUAAACAAAUACUCCAUGCAGCAUACGGAUAUCUCUGGCCACAAGUCCAUAACAGGAGGACAAAUUGGAAGGCAAGCGAGAGAACCUUAGAUAGGAUCUCUGUUAAAUAUGCAUGGCAGGCAGAUGUAUGCAAAAGAUUAAGCAAACCAAGCGACUUGUUUAUUAGAGAGCUGGCACAAUGUCUUUGUUAAUAAAAUAAGCUAUUAGUCUAAAGUCCUCUCUUCAAAAUUAAUUUCAGCCAUCAGUUCGCUCGAUGGCCUUUGGCGAGCCUGCCAAUAUUGGAGCUCCAAAUCUUAAAUAUCUUCAGGACAAUAAUACUAGGGACAGAUGUGUCCGUCUCAUUCGGGUUCAUAUCACUUUUGCCAUUUUUGGUUUUGAAGCCCAUUCUGCUACAUUUCAAAAAUUUGAAAAAGUCAGAUUUGAAGGAUAGCUGUAUUUCAGCUUGCAUAUUGUUUUGGGGUGUGUGAAUUAUGUAGGUUUACAUUAAAUCACGAGCUGAGUCCAGUUUCUCCCCCAUCCUUCCCCUCAGUGCACCUUGUGCAAGUUGUUGUAAUGCAAAAUCCUCAGGAGAACCAAGUUCCAAUCCGUACAUCAGUCCAGGAGAUGCAGACCUAGCAAGUUUAUUUAUGUGGGAAUUCUGGCCCAACUAAUUCCUUGAGGUUGAAUGUGUCAAAGGUUAAGUGUCUAAACCAAAUUGCAUUUCUGAUUGUUGUCCACUUCCAUUGCAUCACAUGGGUCUUUUGAUCUUCAGAGGUGUUGUGUGGGGCACAUGAAAGGCUGUGGAGGAAAGGAGUCCCCAAAAAUUGCAAAUGGGAAUGCAGAUACACAUGUGCAGCCAUUUGGUUGCAGACAUUCCUCCAGACAAGAAAGAUUUGCUUUGCAUUCCUAAGGGGUGGGGGGUAUCUGAAGUCGCAUCCAAAGCCCAGAAGAGUGCGGAGCGAAAGCCCAGGAGAGAACAGAGAAGCUUUUCCAUUUCUUACCAGCCCUUAACCCCGCCCCACUAGAGAACAAUAAAAGGGAGUGAUUAAUUUACAUCUGAGAUGGCAUAAACAUCUCCCCCAGGUUUGGUGGAAUUAUCUAGGGGGCUGGGAGGGCAUUGGAUUGAGGAAGGGCCAUAACUCAGUGGUAAGCAAUCUGCUUUGCAUGCAGAAGGUUCCAGGCUCAAUUCCAUUCAUCUGCAGAUAGGGCUGGGAAUGCCCCCUGCGAUAAAAAUGAAUGUACUGCCUAGAAUGUUGUUUUUGUUUCAAACUUUGCAGAUUGUGGACAAAAUGGACUGUUUCAAGAGGUGGCAGAAAGAUAUUUCUAAAUUUGUCUGGCAGGGCAAGAAACCUAGAAUAAAAUUUAAAAUAUUAACAGAUGCAAAGGAAAGAGGUGGAUUUGCCCUGCCAGACCUUAAACUUUAUUAUGAAUCAGCAGCUUUUUGCUGGUUGAAAGAAUGGCUACUUCUUGAAAACACUGACAUUUUGGAUUUGGAAGGUUUCAAUAAUGUAUUUGGAUGGCAUGCAUAUUUAUGGUAUGAUAAGGUCAAAGCACACAAAGCAUUUAAAAACUACAUUGUCAGGAAAGCGCUAUUUAAUGUUUGGAUAAGAUAUAAGGAUUUGCUAGAAAAUAAAACCCCAAGGUGGCUGUCACCAAUGGAAGCAAAAGCCUUGAAAAGGGUCAAUAUGGAGGUCAAAUGGCCGAAAUAUUGGGAAAUUUUGGAACAAGACGGAGAUAGACUGAAAUUGCAGAGUUUUGAAAAAUUAAAAACAAAGUGCGAGACUGGCUUCAUUAUUAUCAAAUAAUGGAGGCAUUUAAAUUAGACAGGAAAAUUGGCUUCCAGGUGGAAAAGUCAAAAUUAGAAACAGAAUUGUUAGAACCCAAUACUAAGAAUUUGUCAAGAAUGUAUAACUUGCUGCUGAAAUGGAAUACUCAAGAUGAAACGGUAAAAUCGGUUAUGAUUAAAUGGGCACAGGACGUAGGACAUAACAUUAUGUUUGCUGACUGGGAACAGUUAUGGACCACUGGUAUGAAAUUUACGGCAUGUAAUGCCUUAAGAGAGAAUAUUAUGAAAAUGAUAUACAGGUGGUACAUAACCCCAGUCAAGCUUGCGAAAAUUUAUCACUUGCCCGAUAACAAAUGUUGGAAAUGUAAAGAAACUGAAGGUACAUUUUUUCACCUUUGGUGGACGUGCCCAAAGGUUAAGGCUUUCUGGGAAAUGAUAUAUAAUGAUUUAUAAAUGGUAUUUAAGUAUACCUUUCCCUAGUAUCCAGUUGCCUUUCUCCUGGGCAUAGUGGGCCAAAUGGUUUUUAAAAAGGAUAGAACUUUCUUUAUGUAUGCAACAACAGCAGCAAGAAUACUCAUCGCAAAGUAUUGGAAGACACAAGAACUUCCCACGCUGGAGGAAUGGCAGAUGAAACUUAUGGACUAUAUGGAAUUGGCGGAAAUGACUGGCAGAAUCCGUGACCAGGGAGAAGAGUCGAUGGAGGAAGACUGGAAGAAAUUCAAAGACUAUCUUCAGAAACACUGCAAAAUUAAGGAAUGUUAGAGUGAUGUUGGACCGAAAAUAAGUGGUUUCCAGCUGUACAGGUUAAAGUUAAGGAUAGAUUAAGAUUAAAGAUCAAGAUUAAAGAUGUUUAAAGAAAUGGAAAUUUAAUAAUAAAAGGGGAAAAUUUAAAGGUAUAUGACAUUAAGAACAAGGAUUAUGUUUAAAAAAGUUGAAGUUAUAUAUUUUAAUAUCCUAUUAAAUUAAAGAUUGGGUUUAAAAAAGUGGAAAAGAAACUGCUGGACAAAUAAUGCAAAUUGGAAUACAAAAGAGGGAGGUAUGAGGAAGUCCAGAAAAUAAGUAAUUUAAAAUUGGGAAUGGAAAAGAGAGUUUGUUUUUAACUGUUAUGUUAUGUGUUUUUAUUGUUAAAUUUUGUAUUGUUUUUUUUUGUGUGUGUUGUUUUUCUUUUUUCUUUGUGUAAAACCUUAAUAAAAAAUUAUUAAAAAAAAAAAAAAAAAGGGAAUGCCCCCUGCGGAGCUGUACGCAGGCAUGUUGUCCAUUAAACUAGAUGGACCAGUGACUCAAUAAAAUCCAGAUGCCCAUGUUCCAAUGACCUAUUGAAUCUAGUGCUGUAGCACCCUGCUUGUGGUUAACGCUUAGCUGGAAUGAAAUAUUCAACGCAGCAAUAGAGAAAUUAAAAUAAUAAUUUAUUUGUCAGACAAAUAAAUGAGAGACACAGUGGUAUAUGGAUACCAAAGCUCUGCCCACUCCAGCCCUGAUGGCCAGCACUUAUAUUUCCUCAGCCCAGCCCCCUUGCUCCUCCUUUGGCUGCCUCUGUCCAAUCAGCCUGGUUGAAAUUCCUAUUGGCUGUUUGCUAGAACCAAUCAUAAAAGAUACACCCAUUUCCUAUUACCUUUUAUGGGAGACAAAGAGCUAUAUUUCCUUCUAUCCAUAAAUGGCAGACAAGUAGCCAUAUAUCUUACAUUUGCCUCGACCAGGCACCUUAAUUACCAGAUAACCUUUUUGCCCUAUUGCCCUAUUGCCCUAUUCACUCCAGAACAGAUGGCUAAUGGUUUUAAUUUUUAUCUUAAACAGAGAUCUUGGGUUCAUCUUCUCACACACCAUCAAUGAAAUAAGAAUCUAACAUAAGAAUCUAACAUUUCUUACUUUCUAAAUCCUUUGCAUAAUUACAUUUAAGCCAAUAUAUUUCAUACAUAACAUAGAUAGAUUUUUAGAAGGAAAGGCCUUUUCAAAGUAAAAAGGAACUUUAAUAAAAACAGUUUCCAAAAGCAACCCCUUAGAUCUACACCCCCCUUUCAAGCCAGCUGCUGUUUCUAAAAGCAACUUCUUCAAUUUACAACUCCCCUUUCAAGCCAGCUGCUGUUUCUAUUAGCUCUUGCCCUUUAACCUUAGGAAGAUGUGGCUCAAGUCUAAUGGGAGGCACAUGGUAUUACAAUAAAUUUUACUAUUUACCAACUCUUAAUUAGUGUUUUUGCAGCUUGAUUGUAUUCUGUAAUUUGUAUGGUCAAUAUGACCUUUUGCUCCCAGCCUGUAAUUUCCUUUUACAACUUUAAGAAACGUGUCUCCUGUUAUAAAUCGGGGGGCUGUUCAAGGAGAUAAACAUCUGCCAAAGUACCUAGCCAGCUGCUUUAUGCCUGGCAUGAGACAUACAAACAUUUGCAAAUAUAUUUUUUAAGCUCAUUUUAAAAUGCAGGCCUUGAUCUGAUGCCUCAGUGCCUUCCCCUGAUAUUGUCACAACACACUCUUGAACUGUCUUUGAGGCGCAACCCCUUUUGGCCAUACCAGCACUGGAGCUCCAACAUCAGUAAAGGUAAAGGGACCCCUGACCAUUAGGUCCAUUUGCAAACAACUCUGGGGUUGCGGUGCUCAUCUCACUUUACUGGCCGAGGGAGCCAGCAUACAGCUUCCACAGGUCAUGUGGCCAGCAUGACUAAGCCUCUUCUGGUGAAACCAGAGCAACGCACGGAAACUCUGUUUACCUUCCCGCCGGAGUGGUACCUAUUUAUCUACUUGCACUUUGACAUGCUUUUGAACUGCUAGCUGGGCAGGAGCAGGGACCAAACAACAGGAGCUCACCCCGUCACAGGGAUUCAAACUGCCGACCUUCUGAUCGGCAAGCCCUAGGCUCUGUGAUUUAGACCACAGUGCCACCCGCAUCCAACAUCAGUAGGCAAGAGCAUUCUUACAGCAUGUCUGACAUCAGAACUACCUUUUCUGGGUUGCUGCUCCCUCUCCAGCCUCAGAGAUGAAGUCCUGUGCCCCCUGCAACCUCCUCUGUAGGAUUGCAGCCUUACAGUAUUUUGUAGCGGGUGGGAAACAUCUCCAGUGUUCAGAUUUCUUUGUCUAGCUUUCCAUUGUUGCACUUGGCAAAAAAAACCCCAACAACCAGGAUUCAGACAAGACCUAUUUAUCCUCUCUAGUAUAAUGCUCCUGAGAGACGGAAAAUGCAAGCAGGCUUUAUGGAGCUAUAACUUUUGUCUGAUUUGUUUUUAAAAAAGAGGUUUUUGUCGCAUUUAUAGCAGAAACAAAAUAAUUCAUGUUCUCUGUGACUUUGAGUUAUGCCAUUGGGCAUUUUGCUCUUGCGUCGCUUCCAUACUAAACAGGUAUUAUGUUGCUCCAUAAUCUACAUGAGCAGUAGUUAGACUGUGGCUGUUGAUUUGUAAAAACAAAUUUAAGCAUGCUUAAGUGCGGGGCAUUUUUUCCAGCUGGAACUUGCCGGAACUCAGUUCAGGCACUUUUUGGAUGGGUGCCAUUGCCAUUCUAAGAGAACGAGGGAGGUGUUAAUGGUGAGUUCCAAUACCUCUUUUUCUAGAAAAAUGGCACUGCUUACUUGUGUUGACUUCAAAGGCCUUAAGCGUGCUUAAGCAUGCUGAAAGUGUUUUGUUAAGAUGGCACAGCAGAACUAGUAUGGCAUAGAGGCUAUGAAUGAAUUCCAUAGAGCUAUGGUGGUGUCAUGGCCAGACUGUGGGACCAGGAUUGAGCAGAUCAGGGUUUAGGUCCUCAUUCAGCCACAAAGCUCACGGCCAGUUAACCAUCUCUCAGCCUAACCUACUUCACAGGGUUGUCCACAUAAAAUGGUGGUGUCCACAUAAAAUGAAGGAAGGGAGAACUAUGUACACUUAUCUUGAGUUCUUUGGAGAAUACAUGGGAUAUAAAUGUCAUUAAUGAGCUAGGCUCAUCUUUGCUCCAAACUCACUAGGCAGGACCGUCUUAAGCAUAGCCAGCGCCGUGGUGCAAAGAUCCCUCCAGCGCCCCCUCCCUUUCCCAGAGUUGACCUUUUUUUUGGGCUGGAGGAGGCGGGCAGCGGCUGGAGGGCAGCUCCUCCGGCGGAGAAGAGGCGGAGGCUGGACGCAGCACCUCCUGGCUCAUCUGGCUGCUUCGUGCCGCGGUGGCCACAACAGGCAACACACCGAGUGAGCCACUCCUGCCAAGCGUCAGCUCUUUUUUUUCCCUUUUAGCCUUCUGGCACCCCGUAGGAUUUGGCAUCUGUGGGCUAAAAGGAAAAAAACCGAGCUGGCGCUCAGCGAGAGUGGCACAUGCACCCUCGCUCACUCAGCAUGCUUGUUCGGUGUUCCCUGGACUCUUGCAUGGCACCCUCCAGAACUUGGUGCCCCAUGCCACUAGCCUCAGUGGGUAAGUCUAGGUCUAAUGAUGGGCCCCUGUGGUCCUUCAUAUGUUGUUGGACUCCAACUGCCAUCAUCCCUGGCAACUGGCUGUGCUGGCUGGGGCUGAUGGGAGUUGGAGUCCAACAAUAUCUGGAGGCCACAGGUUCUUUAUCUCUGCCCUAGGUUGUUUUGAGCAAACCACUGCCACUUUGCCCCUUCCCACCCACAAUAUCAGGAUAACCUGAUGCUGAUCUAACACAGCAAUGUGCCUUAAACUGCUUUAUAUUUCAGCAAGUAUUUUGAAAUAAUAAAACCCUGUUAUUUUUAGGGUUAAAAUUUGCCAGAGGAUGCCUAGUGAAUGAGAACUGCAUUCACUAAUGUUGCUAUUAUUACAAAGAAUCAUUUAUAUGAACUUCCAACAGCUGUGUUAGAUAUGGGGUUAAUAUUUGCUCCAGUUUUUAUGUUUAGAUGAAGCAAUCUUGGCCAUUUCCCUGAAUGUCAAAUAACUGUUAUGUGUGUGUGCAAUAUUGCUUGAGAUAAUGCGAAUGAAACCAUAAUGCUUGUGGUCAAUUAACAUGUAACAUUCUGCUGUUCUCAUAGUUAUUUUAAUUGGUCAGGGCCUCUGUAGCUCUAGAAAUCAGGGUCUUGCUCCUACUGGAGCUGUUUGGUGGGAGAAGGUUUCUUGUGGAUAUUUUAAUUAAUUUUGUCAAGACAGUUAACAAAAAGUAUAUGCAUAUGCCUUUCUGAACUAAAAAACCUCAAACCUCAGUAAUAAUUUAAUGUCUGCACGGCCCUACCAUUAGACGGAGUGAGGCAGCUGUUCAGGUAGCAGAUGCUGGGGGGUCCGGAAGUGAUGGCACUCUGGUCCAGUGGAGGAAGCUGUCCAGUCCUCUGUAUUGAAGUAAUAUGCAAGUGUCAUCCUUGAUAGCAAAAUGUGUUUGGCUGGUUCUAAUACAAUCUUUAUGGUCAAACCUUUGCCAUCAGAUUGGGAGUGAGAUGGGAGGCAGCUCUGUUUUCAAGAAUUCUCUCAAUGAAAACUGCUGCUCCUCUUCCACAGCAUAAUAAUUUUAGCUCAGCUAGUGUGAAGGACCAGUGUGAUACAACGCUUAGGGCGCCGGACUUAGACUGGACAGAGAGGAACAUAGUGGAGGUUGGUCGAGUAGGGAGCACUGCCCAAGCAAACUCAGUCUGCCCUCAGUCAGCCCCUACCUUUCGGCCUUCCUUUUUACAACCAGUCCAGGUAGAAGCAGCACUACCUGUCAGACCUCAUUUUCAGUGUUGCCCUUUCAAAACUCAUCAGGGAAGAGGAUAGGGAUAAAACUAGAAUUAGUUAAGAACCUAGAAAGAGCCUGCCAAUGGCCCAUCAAGUCCAGCAUCCUGUUCCCACUGUGGCCAGCUGGAUGCCUGUGGGAAACUUGCAAGCAGGACUUGAAUGCAACAGCACUCUAGCAGGCUCUGCCUGUCACUGGCUCUGUCUCCAACUACAGUGUGGCUCCCCAUCUUCCUCUCAAUCAGCCACAGUGGGCACCAUACGCAACAAGUUCUCCCCAACACUGGGGGGACUUGUUCUGUGCAACACACACGCGUGACAUCAUGGGAGGAAGCCGCAGGUUCUGGCAGGGCCCUCCGCCGCUGCCACGGCCGGGCCCCUCAAGAUUGGAGAGGGCUCAGCCACAUCCCCACAUACUUCCUGGAGGGCUCAGCCACAUAGAGUUGGUGCCUAUGGUGGGCCACCCGCCACCGCUGAACCAAUAAAUACAUCAAGAGAUUCUGUGGCAGGAAUUCAACAUCAUACCCAUGUGAUCGUUCCAUCAGUGCAAGCACUUCCGCUUGCCAGACAGAAUGAGUCACCCUCCCCACCCACCCCAGGCUGUACUGGGGGGUUCUCCCGACCCCCCCCAACUGAUUUGGGAGAGGGGCAAGGGGAAGAGAGGAGGGAAGCCCUCUUGCUCUAGAGAAAGUGUUUAUACAUCACAUGGUCUGUGUUGUAUUCCCUAAGUUGGUUGUUUCAUCAAUGCCAAACCAAUAAGCAGCGCAGAAGUAUGAUUUAACUGUAUGUCAUCAGGGGGACGUGGGUGGCACUGUGGGUUAAACCACAGAGCCUAGAACUUGCUGAUCAGAAGGUCGGUGGUUCAAAUGCCCGCGAUGGGGUGAGCUCCCGUUACUCGGUCCCAGCUCCUGCCAACCUAGCAGUUUGAAAGCACCUCAAAGUGCAAGUAGAUAACUAGGUACCGUUCUGGUGGGAAGGUAAACGGCGUUUCCGUGCGCUGCUCUGGUUCGCCAGAAGUGGCAUAGUCAUGCUGGCCACAUGACCCGGAAGCUGUACGCCGGCUCCCUCAACCAAUAAAGCAAGAUGAGUGCCGCAACCCCAGAGUCGGCCACGACUGGACCUGAUGGUCAGGGGUCCCUUUACCUUUACCUUUACAUCAUGGGGAAGGGCCAUAGCUCACUAGUAGAGUGUUAGCCUUGCAAGCAGAAGGUCCCAGGUUCAGUCUCCAGGUACAGUUCGAAUCCUCAAAUCCUGGCAAGCUGCUGCCAGUCAGGGUAGGCAGUACUGAGCUAAAUAGACCAAUGGUCUAACUUGGCAGCUUUCUGUUUUCCUAUCUUGUCCUUCUCCUCAGGCAGGGAAAACAUCCUUGUUGUUGCUGCAACAGAUCAGCUUGUCUACCCCUCUGGAAUUUGUACCUGAUUAGUUCGUGCUGAUGUUGCAAACAACUGCCUUCCAUUAUUCUUUAUCUGAAAUUAACUGUCACAUGAAAGCAAGCUGUUCCUUUUAUUCUCUUUUAGGAAGCUACCUAAACAUCACUUUGUUCUUCUUGAUUAUAACUGGG